GACGAACGCUGGCGGCGUGCUUAACACAUGCAAGUCGAACGGAAAGGCCCUGCUUUUGUGGGGUGCUCGAGUGGCGAACGGGUGAGUAACACGUGAGUAACCUGCCCUUGACUUUGGGAUAACUCCAGGAAACUGGGGCUAAUACCGGAUAGGAGCUCCUGCUGCAUGGGGGGGGUUGGAAAGUUUCGGCGGUUGUGGAUGGACUCGCGGCUUAUCAGCUUGUUGGUGGGGUAGUGGCUUACCAAGGCUUUGACGGGUAGCCGGCCUGAGAGGGUGACCGGCCACAUUGGGACUGAGAUACGGCCCAGACUCCUACGGGAGGCAGCAGUGGGGAAUAUUGCACAAUGGGCGGAAGCCUGAUGCAGCAACGCCGCGUGCGGGAUGACGGCCUUCGGGUUGUAAACCGCUUUCGCCUGUGACGAAGCGUGAGUGACGGUAAUGGGUAAAGAAGCACCGGCUAACUACGUG
rnacentral:rRNA from 1 species